GUGCCAGCCGCCGCGGUAAUACGAAGGGACCUAGCGUAGUUCGGAAUUACUGGGCUUAAAGAGCACGUAGGUGGUUAAGAAAGUUGGUGGUGAAAUCCCAAGGCUUAACCUUGGAACUGCCACCAAAACUUUUUAACUAGAGUAUGAUUGAGGUAAGCGGAAUUUCUAGUGUAGAGGUGAAAUUCGUAGAUAUUAGAAAGAACACCAAUUGCGAAGGCAGCUUUCUGGAUCAUUACUGACACUGAGGUGCGAAAGCAUGGGUAGCGAAGAGGAUUAGAUACCCUCGUAGUCCAUGCCGUAAACGAUGUGUGCUAGACGUUGGGAAUUUAUUUUUCAGUGUCGCAGCAAAAGCGUUAAGCACACCGCCUGGGGAGUACGACCGCAAGGUUAAAACUCAAAUGAAUUGACGGGGACCCGCACAAGUAGUGGAGCAUGUGGUUUAACUCGAAGAUACGCGCAGAACCUUACCAACACUUGACAUGUUCGUCGCGACUCUAAGAGAUUAGAGUUUUCGGUUCGGCCGGACGAAACACAGGUGCUGCAUGGCUGUCGUCAGCUCGUGUCGUGAGAUGUUGGGUUAAGUCCCGCAACGAGCGCAACCCUUACUUUUAGUUGCUACCAUUUAGUUGGGCACUCUAGAAGAACUGCCGGUGAUAAGCUGGAGGAAGGUGGGGAUGACGUCAAGUCCUCAUGGCCCUUAUGUGUUGGGCUACACACGUGCUACAAUGGUAUUUACAGUGGGAUGCAAAGAGGCAACUCCAAGCCAACCCUCAAAGAAUACCUCAGUUCGGAUUGUACUCUGCAACUCGAGUACAUGAAGCUGGAAUUACUAGUAAUCGCGGAUCAGCGCGCCGCGGUGAAUACGUUCCCGGGUCUUGCACACACCGCCCGUC
rnacentral:rRNA from 1 species